rnacentral:misc_RNA from 1 species
AAAGUCGUAACAAGGUCUCCGUUGGUGAACCAGCGGAGGGAUCAUUACAGAGUUGCAAAACUCCCAACCAUUGUGAACUUACCUCACCGUUGCUUCGGCGGGUGGCCCGGGGCAACCCAGGCCGCGCCGGCUCCUCUUCAGGGGCCUGGCAAACCCGUCAGAGGACCGAAACUCUUCGUCAUCAGUGGCCUCUCUGAGUAACUUAUACAAUAAGUCAAAACUUUCAACAACGGAUCUCUUGGUUCUG